AUUGCUCUCUAGCCUGCAAACAGCAUCUUGCUAACUGGCUUCCACUUUCUGAUCUCCGCAGGAACUGGUGGUUUGCAUAGGGAAGAAAAAAAAAGAAAAACACUGAACACACCGCUUGGCAUCAGAUAAGUGCUCUUUCUUUCUGAGCAAUACGGGAACAGCAAGGGAUUACGGUAACACAGGGAUACUGCCUGCUCCAGCAGCAGAGCAGCAAAGUUCCUGCUGCUCCUUGGCAGCGUGGAGCUGAGCGCUGUGAGUGGUGCUGUGCUCCCAGAGAUGCUGGAGCUGAGCUCCCCGUGGGCACUGGAAUACUGGGAACCAGUGUGAGUCAUCACAAUGCUGGUGGGGAAGGAGAUGAGCAGGGGGUGUGCAGGCAGAGAGUCCCACCUCUGCAUGAAGAGAGGAAGCUGCUGUGCUGUGGGGCUGCCCGUCCCCUUCCAGAUGCUCAGAGCUGUGCCGUCUGCUACAGACUGAGGCAGAAUAUCACCUGGUUGCUUUGGAGCACGAGUAUCCAUCAGGCAUUUUUGCUGCAUCUCCUUGACUUACCUUGAAGUUUAGUUCCAGGUGCUUAAAAAUCAAGUUUGAUGAUUGCUUAAUUUCCUUGUCCACCAGCACUGCUAUAAUGACCACAGUUACGGUGAUUACAGAUGCUCAGUGCCACAGCCUAUUUUCAUUUAUGUGCUUAUUAAAGUCUAUCAUUUGGGGGUUGGAAGCCUCCAACCUAAGUCAUUCUUUCAUUCUAUGAUCUCCUUUCUUGGAAUUAUCCUUCAACUCAUUCUCUCUCGGGGAAUAGAAAAUACAAAGGCUGAAUUUUGUUUCACUGCAGGGAGGACAAAUUCCCACACUGGAAUGCCUCUCCGCUUCCCUCCCCCGUUUUCCCUGUUACAAACUGGGCAUUCCAGAGUUUCGGGGUAAGAGUCGUUCCAGAUCUCUUUGCCCAAAGGAAAAUGUGGUUUUGAGACCGAGCUACAUGACAUUUCCUGCUGUUCGGUGUUUGCAGGAGGUGUGAUGUGAUGGACUCACCCAAAGACCUAUGCUACAACACUCA
ensembl:lncRNA